UCAACAGUGUCAAAGAACUUAUAGGUUUCUGGGUUCAACCUCCCAGUGUCCAGACUGAACACCCUAAAGGGUCUACCGGUUAGCUUUGCAUACUCUAUCAAAGCAACAUCUUCAGCACCACUGAAUGCAAUAGCAAUAUCAUUGCCAAACUUCUCAAGAGCCUUAUCCAUAAUCUCCAAAGGUGAAGAGUUCUCAAGCACCUUGGCCAAUUGUUCAUAGUCUUCCACCUCUAUUUUCUCUGCUACCUCAGACUCAGCUAUAGCUGCCGCAAGCGGGACAAUGGAGUCAUUCCGUUUGGACUCCGCGUUCACCGGCUUCACCGAGCAUCUCCGUUGAGAAAGGCUGACGGCGGCCGGGCGACCCAACAACCGCAAUGAACCAAUUUGGAGAGCUUUGAGCUCAGAGGAGAGCGAAUAAUUGGUAGCAGAAAUUGCAGAAGAAGAAGAAGAGGCAACACUGAAAGCCAUUAAAGAAUACAGAGAAC
rnacentral:misc_RNA from 1 species